GCAGGGAGGUGAUUCGUGGGUUCUUCAUAUCUAGGAAACCAGGGGCAAGGGGAAGAAUUUUUAAGAAACUGCCACUUCCUUGUUCCACAGGCCUCCAUUUUGUGCUGUGUGUGAUAUCAUCGCUGGAGGGGUGUCUCAGUGCAUGCUGGGUAACGCACAGUUCAAGAGAAAUCUAUUCAACACAUUGAGAUUAUUGUUAUUCCUUCUUAUCCACCCUUCUACAUAAGAGUAUCAUCAGUUAAAUGAAAUCUAUAAGAAGGAUCUUAAAGUUGGAUUUGAGGAUCAAAUGUCAAGAUUUGAGAAGGAGCUGUGUGAAAAUGAUGAAAAAUUAGUUUCUAAGAUGUACAAGCUGCUGCUUCUGGAGGAGACAAGAGAUGAAGUGGUUAAAAUGACUAUGAUAAAAUGGGCUCAAGAUGUGGGUCAUAAUAUAGAUAUGGCAGCUUGGGGGAAAUUAUGGAAAAUUGAUUUAAAGUUUACCGCAUGUUAUACUUUAAAAGAAAAUUAUUAUAAGAUGAUGUACAGGUGGUAUUUAACACGCCAAAAAUUAGCGUUAAUGUAUAAAAAUGUUCCAAACAAAUGCUGGAAAUGUGGACACUGUGAAAGAACCUUUUUUCAUAUGUGGUGGUCUUGUGGGAAGGCAAAGGCUUUCUGGGAUAUGAUAUAUAAUGAGUUGAAGGAAAUUUUUUAAAUGACAUUUCCUAAGAAACCAAAAUCCUUCCUGCUGGGAAUAACGCAAGGAGAGUUUUCCAGAAGAAAUUUAACAAUUGUUAUGUAUGCAACCACGGCGGCUAGAAUAGUAUAUGCGCAGAAAUGGAAGAACAAUGAAAUGCCCUCCAAAGAAGAUUGGCUGAUAAAAAUUUUGGAAUAUGCUGAGAUGGCAAAACUUACAGUACUGAUAAGGGAUGAAAACCUGGAAUGUUUUAAAGAAGAUUGGAAACCAUUCUUACUAUACUUAAAGAACUAUUUCUCUAAUAUUGAUUUUUCAGCAGGGUUUGAAAUGUAGUAAUAAUAGCAGGUCGGGUAGAGUAAAAUUGAGUUUGUAAUGUUUAGGAUAUAUGUUUUCAAUUAUUAUAGCAAUGGUUGACUUGUAUACUGAAUGAAUCGCACAGACUGGUGAGUGGGAAGUCAAUAUUUAAGAUAUUGCAAAAACCAAUAAAAUUUUAAAAGCAAGAAAACCAGGAAAACAACACUUGUGAUGUACCAUAUGACCUAAUUUCAACUUAUACGAUAAAUCCAUUCUUUUAUAGGUUGAAGAAAAUGUCAGUUAAGAAAUGUUGUUAGU